UGAAUUCGAUGACCGCCAGAGCAGGGACCAUAUAUGGCCGAUGUAUAAUUCUAUGUGCAUAGCGCAUAUGACAAUAUGUUUAUAAGUCUUGACUAAUUACGUGCCACCAGUCCGGCAAUACGUAUGAAACGAGUGUUAUUCAUCUUUAAUAGGUUUAAAGGGUACUUAACGGUUUAAUUACCAAAGCGGUACAAUUAAUCUAAGUUUUAUAUAAAAGGUAUUACUCUUGAUGUAUGAUGAAAUACUUUGAUACCUUGGGGACUGGUAAAGGCGAAGGCAACCUUUUAUCUUAAAACUGACUCAAAGGACAAGGCUUAACACUAACGGGAUUUGGUACCCCAUAUCUUUGCAAAAAUUCUGAAUGUCAUAGUUAGUAAUAAUAUCCAGGCUAAGGGUGGAUGUUUAAUAUCUUCCACUUUAAUACAGUUGAUAACAUAUAAUACUAUGGUC
rnacentral:rRNA from 1 species